GCGCGAAAACUUUACAAUGCUGGCAACAGCGAUAAGGGGACCUCGAGUGCCAGGUUACAAAUCUGGCUGUCGUGAUGCCUAAAAAGCAUUGCAUAGCAAGGGCCGGGCAAGACCGGUGCCAGCCGCCGCGGUAACACCGGCGGCUCGAGUGGUAACCGUUAUUAUUGGGUCUAAAGCGUCCGUAGCCGGUUUAAUAAGUCUCUGGUGAAAUCCUGCAGCUUAACUGUGGGAAUUGCUGGAGAUACUAUUAGACUUGAGAUCGGGAGAGGUUAGAGGUACUCCCAGGGUAGAGGUGAAAUUCUGUAAUCCUGGGAGGACCGCCUGUUGCGAAGGCGUCUGACUGGAACGAUUCUGACGGUGAGGGACGAAAGCUAGGGGCGCGAACCGGAUUAGAUACCCGGGUAGUCCUAGCUGUAAACGAUGCGGACUUGGUGUUGGGGUGGCUUUGAGCUGUCCCAGUGCCGAAGGGAGCUGUUAAGUCCGCCGCCUGGGAAGUACGGUCGCAAGACUGAAACUUAAGGAAUUGGCGGGGG
rnacentral:rRNA from 1 species